GGCAUUCCCUCUAAAAAUUUUCUGUGUAUCAAGCAUUCAUUUAAAUGAUCAUUAUGUGCUCCAUUGCAUUUUGAAUUUGAACUUCAUUGCAUUUUGAUGUGCUUCAUUACAUUCAAGAAGUCCAGAUACUAAGUGUUCUUCCCGUCCACUUUGUGCAAUUUUCAUGAUAAUGUUUUUGUAAAGUGAUCAUCAGUCAAGUUUACAUCAAGUGUCAAUUGAUCUAUCAUCUUUGAACAUACUUGUAAAAAACGGUCCUCUUGUAAUGAUGUUGGGUUUUCACAAUAAUGGUACAAUGAAAUGCCUCCAAUAUACAACAUUGUUUAGUAUUAGCGUUUGCUUAUGUAGGCCUGCUUUACUUUUCAUAUAGAAUAUAUUGCCAUCUUGUCUUUAGAAUUUCAUCAGUAUGCUUUUACUUAUGCCUUUGCAAGGGACCAAAUUGGCGCAUCAUUAGCUUUUUGAUUCCAUGUUCUUCACUGUCUUCGUCUUCUAGAAGCAGAUUCAUUUCCAACAGCUGAUAAGCUAUUCCGAAAUAAAAUUUGGGUUGGAACAGUCGAAGGUCUUCCUGUCUAUUUCAUUGAGCCUCAUCAUCUGGCUAAAUUCUUCUGGAGAGGACAGUUUAAUGGAGAGAAUGAUGAUUUCAAGCAUUUUUCAUUCUUUAGUCGUGCAGCACUUGAAUUGCUUCUUCGAGCUGGCAAGAAACCAGAUAUAAUCCAUCGCCAUGACCGGCAGACAGCGUUUGUUGCACCACUCUAUUGGGAUUUGUACGCUCCUAGAGGUUUGAAUAUGGCUAGGAUUUGCUUUACAUGCCACAAUUUUGAGUAUCAGGGGACAACACCUGCUUCAGAGUUGGCAUCCUGUGGCGUUGAUGUUCACCAGCUGAGUAGACAUGAUAGGAUGCAGGAAAAUGCAUCACAUGAUAGAGUCAAUCCAAUUAAGGUUAUUGAUUUCAAUGGUUCAUUUGAAUUAAGAAAAAGGCAUCAAGGUGAGACGUGUUUUACAUGUUCCCAUUCUUUAGGGUGUGAUUGUGUUCUCCAACAUUGUAACAAUAGUAUCUCCAUCUUUCUCUCCCUGCCCCGACUCUCUCUCUAUGUCUCUGCCCUAAUUUUGCUCAAAAAUAUGAUAACAUGGGGGCUGAAAUGGCUGUCCUUA